AUGUGCCGGGGAGGACACCUGCGCCGAGGGAACACCUGCGCCGAGGACACUCGCACGAGCGGGAUACUCCACGGGACCCGGAACGGCCUCCCUGCCCUCCAGGUCCCGGUCCGGCCUCCCCCUACGCGCCCCCGCGGAAGCCACAGACAGGGAGAGCAAGGAUGAAACACGGCGACCACCGCCUACGGACCCGCGGGCCGUCAGAACCUGCCGCCGACUCACCCUCUAAGCCUACGCCGCCGCCGCCGCCUCCGGAGUCCCGGAAGUGGACAGCGAACGGGUACUUCCGCUUCCGGCAACGGCGCCGGAAGCAGGGGUCCGGCCCUCCGGGCGGGGCGAGCACCCGCCUCUUGGCCGAGCGACUUCAGCUCGGGGACCUGCCCCGUGGCCGCUCCCCAGCAGGACAUGGUAACUGCCGGGAUGGGGGUCUCCUUGCCCGUCCCAGCCCCCCCAACUCAGGCCCUCUCGCUGCCUCCGGCGACCCCCGCGUGCGCCCUUCCCCAGGGCCGGCGCAGUCUUGGAAGCCUCCGCCCAGCGUGGCUGCCUGCGUUUUCUCUCCGUUCCCUUCCCGACCUCCGGAGAGAAGACAGCCCCAGAGCCGCUGUGGCUCCGUCCUCUGCUGACGCCUCAUGUCUUUAUGUUGGCCUUGCCGUCCGCACUGCAGUGUGGCAGGGGCGUCCCGCCUUUGCCUCGAACUGAGGUGGGCGCCGAGCAUUCAGUAAACGAGGAAACGAAAGCGGGGAAAGUUGGGAACCAAGCGUCUGUCAUGCCUGCCACCAGCAGACAAGCGGCUUUGGGUACCCCCUGGACCCAAACACGAACUCAGCCCCUCCAGGAGCGCAGUCAUCGGCACCCAUGUGGGAACAGUGCCCUGGGGUGGGUGGCCACGGGAUGUUUCUGGGGCCCCUCAGAGGGCCAGCGGCGCGGUCUUGGAGAAUGAAUGUGUGUCCCUGGGCCGCUGCUGCAGAGGGUCGGUCCUGAGUCGCUGCUUGGAAGAGAGGCCCAUGGCCAGCACUUGGCUUCACCAGGAGGAAAAAGCACGUGCUAAACCACCAGCAUUCGGGGUUUGUCUGUUUGAUAAACGAUGCACCAACUAACAAGAAAGUCUUUCAUAGGUGGCAGCUGCUAGGUUGUGCCCCGGCCCCUCCUGAAAAUCGGCCACACAAAAGGAAGGGUCUGGAAGGUGGCAGAGAAGCCAGCAGAGACAAGGAAAGUGGCAGCAGCAUGGGGCGGGGUCACACAGGAUGAAGAUGGAGCUGUGGGAGCCCCCGCUGCCACUCCCACAAGGAGCCCUGCCCCGUGCCCUGCUGAUGCUAACACCCUGGCUCUGUUAUUUCAGUUUUUCCUUGUAAUUUCUGAAAAUCUAGCAAGUUGAGCAAUGAAAAAAAUUUUUUAAAAAAAGUUAAAAUUAUGUUAGAAAUUAUGACUAAUUUUGAAACUAAUGAAGGAAAAAAAAAUGGCCAAAAUUACCAAAGCUUUUAGGACUCUUCAAAAUAUAGUAACAUUGAGUAUUAUGAACUAAAGACUCAUACUAUU